ACACCGGCAGCUCUAGUGGUAGCAAUUUUUAUUGGGCCUAAAGCGUCCGUAGCCGGUUUAAUAAGUCUCUGGUGAAAUCCUGUAGCUUAACUGUGGGAAUUGCUGGAGAUACUAUUAGACUUGAGACCGGGAGAGGUUAGAGGUACUCCCAGGGUAGAGGUGAAAUUCUGUAAUCCUGGGAGGACCGCACGUUGCGAAGGCGUCUAACUGGAACGGUUCUGACGGUGAGGGACGAAAGUUAGGGACGCGAACCGGAUUAGAUACCCGGGUAGUCCUAACUGUAAACGAUGCGGACUUGGUGUUGGGGUGGCUUUGAGCUGCUCCAGUGCCGAAGGGAAGCUGUUAAGUCCGCCGCCUGGGAAGUACGGUCGCAAGACUGAAACUUAAAGGAAUUGGCGGGG
rnacentral:rRNA from 1 species